CUACGGGGGGCAGCAGUAGGGAAUAUUGGGCAAUGGGCGCAAGCCUGACCCAGCAACGCCGCGUGCGCGAAGAAGGCCUUCGGGUCGUAAAGCGCUUUUCUGAGGGAUGAGAAAGGACAGUACCUCAGGAAUAAGCCUCGGCUAACUACGUGCCAGCAGCCGCGGUAAAACGUAGGAGGCGAGCGUUAUCCGGAUUUACUGGGCGUAAAGCGUGUGCAGGCGGUCUGGCAAGUUGGAUGUGAAAGCUCCCGGCUCAACUGGGAGAGGUCGUUCAAAACUACCGGACUAGAGUGUAUCAGAGGGAGAUGGAAUUCCCGGUGUAGUGGUGAAAUGCGUAGAUAUCGGGAGGAACACCAGUGGCGAAAGCGAUCUUCUGGGAUACUACUGACGCUCAGACACGAAAGCUAAGGUAGCGAACGGGAUUAGAUACCCGAGUAGUC
rnacentral:rRNA from 1 species